rnacentral:lncRNA from 1 species
GGCUUAAUGCAGCAAGAAAUAAUACUAGUGGUGAAGGGCUGUCUAACAUUGCUUUCUUGUUGGUUUCAUUAAUAAAAAAUGUGUUAAACAAUUUUUUGAGAUUUGGGAUUUGACCAGCCUAAAUCAGUCACAUGUCAGUCAUAAAAAGUUUUGAUCGGAUAGAAGGUAAAACCUGGCCGGACAAUGUCCGACGACCGGCAUAAAUUUCAAAAACAACAUAUUAACACAAAAUAUUUUAAUUUAUCUUGCCUGGAGCAGCAUAUUGUCAUGCAUAUUCAUAUGAUCUUCAAGUUCAGUGGCAAUUUCAAACUCGGCAUCGCAGACACAACAGAUAUAACCAAUACCAGUUGCUUCUCUUGCUUCCAAUUCCUUACAGAAAUCACAUUGGCAGAAUAUACCAUGCUCCUUGACCUUGUGCUGAUUUAAAAUUUGAAUAUCAGGGAACUGUUUGUUGCAUUUAUCACACUCAAAAUGAUCACCACUCAGUAUCUCAUUAGCAUGUCCUUGUCCUUGUGACUGACUAAUUUCUCUGCCACAAGUGUUGCACAACAAAAAUCCAUCUCUUGAAUGUAAUCUCCAGUGACGUUUGAGACCUUUUCGUUGUGUGAAUGUUUUCUUGCAGAUACGACACUCAAAACUCUGUUCAAUCUUGUGUGCUGAUAUUUUAUGUCGUGUUAACUUGCGUGAUUCUGGAAAUCUCUUGUUACAAACAUCACAUUCAUAAGGUUUGUCUCCAGUGUGUGUUUUUUUGUGGGUAGCUAAGUGGCUCAAUCGUGAAAACUCUUUCUUACAAACAUCGCAUUCAUAAGGUUUGUCACUAGUGUGUGUUCUUUUAUGUCGAGCUAAACUGCUGGGAUCUGAAAAUCUUUUUUUGCAAACAUCACAUUCAUAUGGUUUGUCUCCAGUGUGUGUUCUUUUAUGAACCACUAAGUGGCUCAACUGUGAAAAUCUUUUGUUGCAAACAUCACAUUCAUAAGAUUUGUCCCCAGUGUGUGUUCCUUUAUGAACCACCAAGUUGCUAGACUGUGAAAAUCUUUUGUUACAAACAUCACAUUCAUAAGGUUUGUCUCCAGUGUGUGUUCUCUUAUGAACCGUCAAGUUGCUUGAUUUUAAAAAUCUUUUGUUGCAAACAUGACAUUCAUAAGGUUUGUUUCUAGUGUGUGUUCUUUUAUGUUGAGCUAAACUGCUGGGAUCUGAAAAUCUUUUUUUGCAAACAUCACAUUCAUAAGGUUUGUCUCCAGUGUGUGUAUUUUUAUGAACCGCCAAGUUGCUAGACCGUGAAAAUCUUUUGUUGCAAACAUCACAUUCAUAAGGUUUGUCCCCUGUGUGUGUUCUUUUAUGAACCGUUAAGCUGCUCGACUGUGAAAAUCUUUUGUUGCAAACAUCACAUUCAUAAGGUUUGUCUCCAGUGUGUGUUCUUUUAUGAACCGCCAAGUUGCUAGACUGUGAAAAUCUAUUGUUGCAAACAUCACAUUCAUAAGGUUUGUUUCCAAUGUGUGUUCUUUUGUGUUGCACUAAAUUUCUUUUCUUUGAAAACAUCUUGCUGCAAUACUCGCAUUUCAUAGACAUGAUUUGAGCUUUUGAUUUUUCCCCGUGCGGUCACACGUGCGCUCAAAUUUCGAUAAAAUAUUACGCAGCUGUUCCCUCGAGUCUUUCUUUAUUGAAUAUUUAAAUGCUUCGGUUCUUACAGAAAUUCUGAUCAUAAAAACGAGAAUAUUCAGAGACACAGUUUGCAACCAACACCGAUAUGAAAAU